AACGAACGCUGGCGGCAUGCCUAACACAUGCAAGUCGAACGAGACCUUCGGGUCUAGUGGCGCACGGGUGCGUAACGCGUGGGAACCUGCCCUUAGGUUCGGAAUAACUCCCCGAAAGGGGUGCUAAUACCGGAUAAUGUCUUCGGACCAAAGAUUUAUCGCCUUUGGAUGGGCCCGCGUUGGAUUAGCUAGUUGGUAGGGUAAAAGCCUACCAAGGCGACGAUCCAUAGCUGGUCUGAGAGGAUGAUCAGCCACACUGGGACUGAGACACGGCCCAGACUCCUACGGGAGGCAGCAGUGGGGAAUAUUGGACAAUGGGCGAAAGCCUGAUCCAGCAAUGCCGCGUGGGUGAUGAAGGCCUUAGGGUUGUAAAGCUCUUUUAACCGGGAUGAUAAUGACAGUACCGGGAGAAUAAGCUCCGGCUAACUCCGUG
rnacentral:rRNA from 1 species